rnacentral:rRNA from 1 species
GACGAACGCUGGCGGCGUGCUUAACACAUGCAAGUCGAACGGAAAGGCCCUGCUUUUGUGGGGUGCUCGAGUGGCGAACGGGUGAGUAACACGUGAGUAACCUGCCCUUGACUUUGGGAUAACUUCAGGAAACUGGGGCUAAUACCGGAUAGGAGCUCCUGCUGCAUGGUGGGGGUUGGAAAGUUUCGGCGGUUGGGGAUGGACUCGCGGCUUAUCAGCUUGUUGGUGGGGUAGUGGCUUACCAAGGCUUUGACGGGUAGCCGGCCUGAGAGGGUGACCGGCCACAUUGGGACUGAGAUACGGCCCAGACUCCUACGGGAGGCAGCAGUGGGGAAUAUUGCACAAUGGGCGGAAGCCUGAUGCAGCAACGCCGCGUGCGGGAUGACGACCUUCGGGUUGUAAACCGCUUUCGCCUGUGACGAAGCGUGAGUGACGGUAAUGGGUAAAGAAACACCGGCUAACUACGU